CUCUGGGAUAAGCCUGGGAAACUGGGUCUAAUACCGGAUAUGACCGCAUGCUGCAUGGUGUGUGUGGGGACUCGCAAGGGCCUCACGCUAUGGGAGCGGCCGAUGUCCGAUUAGCUUGUUGGCGGGGUAAUGGCCCACCAAGCGACGAUCGGUAGCUGGUCUGAGAGGAUGAUCAGCCACACUGGGACUGAGACACGGCCCAG
rnacentral:rRNA from 1 species